UACACGACUCUCGGCAAUGGAUAUCUCGGCUCUCGCAUCGAUGAAGAGCGCAGCGAAAUGCGAUACGUGGUGUGAAUUGCAGAAUCCCGCGAACCAUCGAGUCUUUGAACGCAAGUUGCGCCCGAGGCCAACCGGCUAAGGGCACGUCUGCCUGGGCGUCAAUC
rnacentral:rRNA from 1 species